GUUUGAUUCAAUUGGAGGCCAACCACGUGAUGACAUCAAAGAUAUUGUUGAAAAGUGUGUCAAUUCAGCAAAGUUGUUGAGAAGCAAUGGAUCAACUCGUUCACCAAAAUAGACUAAGGUUUUGUGUCCUCAACAAGUUGGAAGUACGACAUGUGGAUAUUAU